UUUUAACUUUAGGUUUACUGCAAGGGCUAGCAUUACUGAUGUUCUUUCCAAAUACCCUAGGUUACGUUGGCCUGAG
rnacentral:tRNA from 1 species